GACGAACGCUGGCGGCGUGCCUAAUACAUGCAAGUAGAACGCACAGUUUAUACCGUAGCUUGCUACACCAUAGACUGUGAGUUGCGAACGGGUGAGUAACGCGUAGGUAACCUGCCUGGUAGCGGGGGAUAACUAUUGGAAACGAUAGCUAAUACCGCAUAAUAUUGAUUAUUGCAUGAUAAUUGAUUGAAAGAUGCUAUUGCAUCACUACCAGAUGGACCUGCGUUGUAUUAGCUAGUAGGUGAGGUAACGGCUCACCUAGGCGACGAUACAUAGCCGACCUGAGAGGGUGAUCGGCCAAACUGGGACUGAGACACGGCCCAGACUCCUACGGGAGGCAGCAGUAGGGAAUCUUCGGCAAUGGACGAAAGUCUGACCGAGCAACGCCGCGUGAGUGAAGAAGGGCUUCGGAUCGGAAAGCUCUGUUGUAAGAGAAGAACGGGUGUGAGAGUGGAAAGUUCACACUGUGACGGUAGCUUAACAGAAAGGGACGGCUAACUACGUG
rnacentral:rRNA from 1 species